rnacentral:rRNA from 1 species
AACGCGAAGAACCUUACCUGGUCUUGACAUCCACAGAACUUUCCAGAGAUGGAUUGGUGCCUUCGGGAACUGUGAGACAGGUGCUGCAUGGCUGUCGUCAGCUCGUGUUGUGAAAUGUUGGGUUAAGUCCCGCAACGAGCGCAACCCUUAUCCUUUGUUGCCAGCGGUUAGGCCGGGAACUCAAAGGAGACUGCCAGUGAUAAACUGGAGGAAGGUGGGGAUGACGUCAAGUCAUCAUGGCCCUUACGACCAGGGCUACACACGUGCUACAAUGGCAUAUACAAAGAGAAGCGACCUCGCGAGAGCAAGCGGACCUCAUAAAGUAUGUCGUAGUCCGGAUUGGAGUCUGCAACUCGACUCCAUGAAGUCGGAAUCGCUAGUAAUCGUAGAUCAGAAAUGCUACGGUGGAAAUACGUUCCC